AUUCCACAUACACUUCCAAUUCAAAUCUCUAAGAUUGUGAAAGUCAUUAAAAAUUCAAAAUGAACAAAAUUGUCCUCUGUAUCAUCCUUCCCUGUAUCCUGGCUAUGGUAGUCUCAGCCUAUUACGUCCCCAACUACGGGGCCCAGUACGGAUAUGGCCAAAGAAACGUUGCACCAUACGCCAGUUACGCUGCCAACAGCAACAAUGCCCUUAGACAGGCCAGACUUUUCAACUACUUGUUGGGAGGAUUGUACUUUUUGAACUUAUUCAACUUUACCGGAAACACUAUUGCUGGUUAAAAUACAUUUGCUGUGCAAAGAGUUAAUUUUGAUCAAAUCCGAAGAUUUCUGAUAUUGAAUGGUGCUGCUACACCUCAACGAGAUGAACAACUAAUUAUUCUUAAAGUUGUACCAAAUUUUCAUUUGUUUUUCAAUAAAACAGUGUUUUGAGUA